AUGGCGGCGAAGCCGGGGAGGGCUCUGCGCAUGCGCAAGUCGCUGAGGGAAGGCGGGCGGCGGGAAACCGCAAUGGCGGAGGCAGCGGCGGAACCCGGCGGCUCCUCCGGUCCGGCCGCUGCUUCGUCCUCACGGGGCUCGGCCGGGCCACAGGAGGGCGAGCGAUGUCCCGGCGGACCCAGCCCUGAGAGCGGAGGGGCCGCGCCAGAUCCGGACCCGGCAGCGGAUCCUGAGGCGAUUUCGAAGCUUCCCAGACAAGAGAAAAAGCCGAGCCCUUCCAGCAGGAAGAGAAGAGCCGAGAGCAGCCAAGAAUUGCUGAAUUCCUCCGGUUUGUCACCGAUCGCCGCCGCCCCUCAGGACAAAAUCCGCUUCUGGCACCGCUCCGACCUCGAGCGGAGGCGAUCCCGCCGCAAAUCGCUGCCCCCUGUCCAGCAGGACGUCACUGGUUCGUAUUUCCAGGCUUAAUUAGCGCUUAAUUAGCGUGAUUUUUAAUUAAAAUCCUUUUUGGGAGUGAGGAUUGCGGGAGGUGAUGCGCUGAGCGUUCUGUCCCCUGAGGAUUCUCUUUUUUUCCUUCGUUUUUGGGUCUUCUUU
rnacentral:lncRNA from 1 species